CGUAACACGUGAGCAACCUUCCGAAAUAUGGGGGAUAGCCGGCCUAACGGCCGAGUAAUACCGCAUACGCUCUCGAUGAGGCAUUUCAUUGAGAGGAAACCUCCAGGGUAUUUCGAGGGGCUCGCGGCCUAUCAGCUAGUUGGCGAGGUAACGGCUCACCAAGGCAACGACGGGUAGCUGGUCUGAGAGGAUGGCCAGCCACAUUGGGACUGAGAUACGGCCCAG
rnacentral:rRNA from 1 species